CCUACGUGAGGCAGCAGUGGGGGAUAUUGCACAAUGGGGGAAACCCUGAUGCAGCGACGCCGCGUGUGGGAAGACGGUCCUCUGGAUUGUAAACCACUUUCCCCAGGGACGAAGAUGACGGUACCUGGGGAGGAAGCUCCGGCUAACUACGUGUCAGCAGCCGCGGUAAUACGUAGGGAGCGAGCGUUGUCCGGAAUUACUGGGUGUAAAGGGAGCGUAGGCGGGACUGCAAGUUGGGUGUCAAAUCUACCGGCCCAACCGGUAGCCGCACUCAAAACUGCAGUUCUUGAGUGAAGUAGAGGCAGGCGGAAUUCCUAGUGUAGCGGUGAAAUGCGUAGAUAUUAGGAGGAACACCAGUGGCGAAGGCGGCCUGCUGGGCUUUUACUGACGCUGAGGCUCGAAAGUGUGGGGAGCAAACAGGAUUAGAUACCCCAGUAGUC
rnacentral:rRNA from 1 species